rnacentral:tRNA from 1 species
CAAAUUAGAGCUUGAUAGAAAGUUUUUUAUUUACAUUAAAAAGUUAAUUGUGCAAUUCGAUUUAAUUUGA